UUAAGAUCCCAGUGGCUCUGGACUACAGAGGGACUCAGAUGCUUCUUUUACCAUUCCAGCGAUGGCACUUCUGACACCAUCUCCUUUGAGCACAACCAACGAAACUAUAACUGAAUCAAUGGCCUAGACUCUCUUUUCCUGGAGCACCUGAGGUCACACCAGCAGCCAACCUGAAUGUUAGGAGCCCAGGGCAGAAAGGAGAAAGAAGAAAGAAGUGAAACCUCUGUGCGAUCCGUCAGAUUUAUUUACCCACUAUCACCACGCCUGGGAUGUUCUUUUUACUUACCAGCAUACCCAUAAAGAAUUACUAUAUUUUCCCUCUGGCAGGAACUUUCAGCUGUGAGAAGUCAGUGGGAAUUUCCACUGCUCCCUCAUCUCAUUUCCUGAUUCCUCUGCACUAGACAGUAAACCCAGAGAAUCUGCAUUCAUUUGCUUGAUUCAAGUUGCUGUACAUGCUACUGCUAUUUCACAGAACCAUGGAAUUGGAGGAGGGGCCAUUUGGUCCAACCCCCUGCUUGACGUAGGAAAUCCAGAGGCAGAGCAUCCCAACAGAUGGCUCUCCCCCUCACUCUCUGCCUGAAGAUCUCCAGUGAGGGAGACCCCCCUCCCCAGAGUAGAAGAGAGAUAUAUGGUAGAAUGGAUGCCAGUUAUCGAUAUGACCCAGGGACCUACGUACAUCAGGCUGCUGCCGUCGCCGCCUCUUGUGGUGGGAAGCCCCAGGCUGGCUGGAGCGGGGAGGAACUGCGGCGUCUCAGCAGGCCCGUUGUUGUGGCCUGGAGGAUGUCAGUUCCUGUGAUGAUCUUUUGGCGUUUUCGGAGGCGGCUUGGAGGCCCGGGAAGCACCCCUGCAGCGGCUACCGCCCUUCAAUACAACCUUCAUCCACUUGCCUGAUAUCGGCGGCAUUUACACUCUGGCCCCUUCACCGAGGCUUCUCUAAGAAGAACUGCUCUGUUAGUUUUGUUUUUGAGAGGCUGGUUGUUCCGCCCCUCUCCUCGCUGGAACUGCUGGAUGCUGGGGUUGGGGGAGAU